rnacentral:rRNA from 1 species
CCUACGGGAGGCAGCAGUCGAGAAUCAUUCACAAUGGGGGAAACCCUGAUGGUGCGACGCCGCGUGGGGGAAUGAAGGUCUUCGGAUUGUAAACCCCUGUCAUGUGGGAGCAAAUUAAAAAGAUAGUACCACAAGAGGAAGAGACGGCUAACUCUGUGCCAGCAGCCGCGGUAAUACAGAGGUCUCAAGCGUUGUUCGGAAUCACUGGGCGUAAAGCGUGCGGAGGCUGUUUCGUAAGUCGUGUGUGAAAGGCCCGGGCUCAACCCGCGGACGGCACAUGAUACUGCGAGACUAGAGUAAUGGAGGGGGAACCGGAAUUCUCGGUGUAGCAGUGAAAUGCGUAGAUAUCGAGAGGAACACUCGUGGCGAAGGCGGGUUCCUGGACAUUAACUGACGCUGAGGCACGAAGGCCAGGGGAGCGAAAGGGAUUAGAUACCCUGGUAGUC